ACAAACAUCCGCUACUUAAACAUUCAAUGUUUAGAAAUAAAACCAUGUUUUAAUCAAAAUGGCGAACAAGUAAGAUGUAUUAACAAUGCUAUUUAACAAUUCAAUGCUGCUGGGCCAAAUAGAUGCUUUAAGAUAUGGAUUUCUCCGGCAUCGUGUCUUAUAUAUGAUAGAUUAUUAAAAUCGAACGAGACAUACGAUAAAUUUGGGAAAAUUCAGUCGGUAAAUGAUGAAAACAGAUGUAAACAUACAGCGAAAACGACAAAUGGGAAUGGCAUAUUUCAAAUUAAGUAUAACUUUAUUUAAAAGUCAAUGUAUAGGUAGCUUAUAAGCUCAGGACACUCAUUAAUAAUAAUAUUAAUAAAAGAGCAGAACACGGAUACAUUAUAAGACGUCAUUUUAUAUUUGAAGACUCAGUCACCGUAGGAACAAAUUUGGUUGAAUCAUUUAAAUUCAUCAAGGUAUCAUUAAAUAAGCUGUCGAACUUUUAAAAAAGUUUAUUUUUUCUCUCCACAUGGAAAUCAUCCAAUUGUAUCCCUUAUGGUAACAGAUCGUGGAGUUUAAUCCAAAUUUAAUUAUGAUAUUACGAUUUAAAGCCAUCUUUUCAAUAUUCAAUCAGAAUUGCUCUACAGGGUUGAAAAGCUGAUUUUAUGUUCGGUACCUUAACAUGUACCUUGUACUUUUAGAAUUUGACUGUUAAUGAUUGGAUUCAAUAAUAUUACUCUUAAUGAAAAACCUGAGACAAAAAUCAAGCUUUAAAACAAAUUUCAGUUAAAGACAUACUAAAUUUGAAUUAUGUCAUUCCUAACAUUUGUCGUUUUCUCUGUAUGUUUACAUCUGUUUUCAUCAUUUACCGACUGAAUUUUCCCAAAUUUAUCGUAUGUCUCGCUCGAUUUCGCUUAUCUAUCAUAUAAAGAUACGAUGCCGGUGAAAUCCAUAUCUUAAAGCAUCUAUUUUCCCUAGCAGCAUUGAAUUGUUAAAUAGCAAUGUUCUUACCUCUCACUUGUUCGCCAUUUUGACCAAAACAUGGUUUAAUUUCAAAACAUUGAAUGUUUAAGUAGCGGAUGUUUAUUAUUAUAAAUAUAAUCAUGAAAAAACAAUAUUAAAAUACAUUAAUCAUGUUUAUAAUAAGAAAUUUUAUUAAAAAAAAUCGCUGUACGCUCAAUUUUGUAACAUCUAAUAGGCGUAUUUUGAGAUCAUUUUCAAAUAACUGAACUUUAGAGAAAAAAUUUCAACCAUUUUAUGUACGCAUACAUUGAAGGAAGGGAUGAAUAUUGAAAUGCAUUAAAAACAACCGAGCCAACAAUUAAAUUUCCUUUGGAAUUUUCGAAUAUAUUUAUCUAAUCCAUGGUGUACGCUCAAUUUCGAGAGUGACUGUAAAUAGCCUUGGUAUUCAUUAUGUUAGAGGAGAGUAGAAUCACCCGACUUGGGAAAUUAGAUUUCAAAUGAAAAACGUCUUACCUCACGAAAGCGCACACCUAAAAUGGCGACGUUGCUAGGACUGCCGUAGCUUCAUGCGCUUUUGCCACUGCCAGGAUAAGCGUCAGUAGUGCCAAUGUUAGGCAGCCAAGUUACCCCCAUUGAAUGACAGUGAUACCAACACUACCGUCAGCAAUCUACGAUUUAUGUUAGGGCCAGUAUGUAUCUCACAGUAUCUAGUGUGCCUGUUAUGGCCACCCCCGGGGUCCAUAAUAAGCAACGUCGAUUUUGAUUAAAUACGUAUUAUGGUCCCCCAUUUGAUUUACAUGUUCCAUUUACACAUGUUCCUUGUGCCUUUUACGGACCCCCCUUGUGUGCUAGUAAUGGAUUAUUUUGCGUAUUUACAUUUACAAAUUAGUUAUUAUUACUAAAUUUAUGUUUUCCAGUCCAUAAUAAUUGUAUGGAACUACUGUCCUGAUAUAUGAAGCAACUUCAGCCGACGGAAGUUUGCAGGAAAUCGUCGACUCUAGCGUUUAAUUUUCGUCGUUGAUUCUAAAUACCGUCAAAAUUUAAAUAAAAUCUAAAAAAUCAGUUUUGAUUUUUCAUUUCAUUCAUAAACAUCCCCCUGUAUCUGAGAGUCUCAACGAUGUUGAUCAAGAUCGGAUUUCCACUUGUUGAAAUUACGGCCUCUAGCUACACCCGGAACGCACUUAGCCUGGAUCGAUUUCUCUCCAGGUACAAGUCAAUGUUCGUCUGAGGCUGGCUGCACUCUGGUGGCGUUUAGAACGGGCUUUUGUUGAAAGCCAUACUGGGUAAUCCAGUGGAUAAAGAUCGGGGAUAGAUGGUUCCCGAAUUUCCUUCACCUACAUAACCCAAGGAAUCCGAGCUGACCUCGAGCAGCCUGUGGCCUUUUCGGAUGGUUGUCGUUUCCUUUUCUUGGUUAAAAACCCUUUUCACGGUCCACCGGGACUCGAGAAAUCACGAAUACUCUGACACUUCGUGAAAAAGCGAUUGGCUAGCAAAGCGGUUCUCAACCUUUUUCUGGAGAGAUACCCCUUUGAGCUUUUACAUUCAUUGAGGUACCCUCUAUUUUUUCGCUGUAAAUGAAAAUAAGUAUAACACAUAAGUCCUGAAAAACGGUCCGGAAAAAUAUUAUAUAUUGUUCUUUUAAAAGUUAUCUGAAAUUUUCGCUGUUUGCCAAUACAAAUUAGGUUUAUGCAUACUUUGAGGAGUUUUGGAAGCUUGCGAUUCUCUUAAAAAGAGGCCUCCGAGCCUUUUGAAAGUAGGCUUCAGCCGCUCUUGAAAGGAUGCCUCCGAAUCUCUUGAAGGGAGGCUUUCGAAUCUCGAAAGAGGUUUCCGAGGCUCUUAGAAGGAGCCUUCUGAGCAUUCUGCAAGGACGCUUCGAAGGCUCUUGAAAAAAGGAUUGCGAGCCUCUUAAAAGGAGCUUUUUGAAAGGAGGCUUUCGAGUCUCUUGAAAGGAGGCUUUCGAGUUUCUUGAAAGGAGGCUUUCGAGUCUCUUGAAAGGAGGCUUUCGAGUCUCUUGAAAGGGAGCUUCCGCGCCUUCAGAGCCUUCAGAGCCUGCUGAAGUUUCCGAGUCCCUUGAAAGGAGGCUUCAGUGCCUGUGGAAAGGAAGCUUCCGCGUUUCUUGAAAGGAGGCUUCCAAGCCGCUUGAAAGAGGCUUCAGAGCCUCUUGAAAGGAUGCUGCUCGUUACUUGAAAAGAGGCUUCCGAGUCUGUUGAAAGGAGGCUUUUGAGCCAUUUGACAGAAGGCAUCCGAACCUCGAAAGGAAGCUUACGAGUGGCCUCAAAGGAGGUUUCCAAACCUGUUAUAACCAGUGUUGGUAAAAACUCAAAAUCUCAAAAUUCAUGAACGAGCCAAAUAAAUCGUAAUAUGAAACGCACCAAACUCAACACCUGAGUUGAAUCAUCCAUUUGAAUCAUCGUAGGUUUUCUUUUGUUUUCGGUUAAAAACAGUAAUUAGUCGUUUGUCGCAUUGAAUUAUGGAUACUCUUGCGUGUGUAAACAAUAAAUUGCCUACAAGUUAAUUUUAAAAUCUUUUUGGAGCGAAAUGAUGUUUUGGCAAAUGAGUGAAACGAUGCGUACUUGCUUAAAAAUCUCAGACAUGAUGCAUUCCUUCUAAUUCUAAUUUGCUUGCGCGGAAGGGCUCGAUAAUUGAGAGUUGUGAAUGAUUUUACCAACACUCUGCUUGCAAUAAAGCUAUUUAGCUUUUCGGAAAAAGUCGUCAUGCCUCUCAAAUUAAAAACCAACUGUCAACACCGAAAAUAAGCCUCUUAAAUAAUGGUUGUUGUGGCAGGAUAUAAUAUGUUUUGAUUUACUAAUAGUCAUGCAUUUCAUGUACAAUGCAAAGUUUUGGAAUAAAAAUUACACAAAAAGUGUUUGUGGAAGUAAGUUGUAGUACAUCCGCCAUUACGCAUUUUCGUCCGAGGUACCAGUAAAGGCCAGUCCUGAGGCCAGUAAAGGUACCCCCAGGGGUACAUGUACCCCAGGUUGAGAACCGCUGCGCUAGCAUAACAACGGCCUUAGUGUUCCUUUUCAGAUAUAUGUUUCAUAUAUUAAAAUUUUCAACCGGCUUUUAACAUAUGUAUUUAAAAACAGUUAUUUACCUUUUCACAGUGGACAAUUAUAGUAUAGAAGUUCCCAAUCUUUUCCUUUUUCUAGAUAAAUUUAUGCGCUACGACAACAAAAUAUUUGGAUAUACUUGCGUUUUUCUUGUGUACAUAACUAUAUACUGUUCAAUGCCAACGAUGGGUCUUUCGGUAAUUAUUAAAAACAGUGGAAAGGCUCUCGGUGUGCAACAUUUAUUCACUAAGUUUUAUUAAAAAUCGAACAUGUCGCGACUCUUUCUAAUAUCUAUGCUGGGAGAUACGUGCCUGGCUUGCAGGCAGUGUUGUCCUACACUCAGUGCAAAAAAAAAUCUGCUCUUUGAUUUUACUCCAUCUGAACGAUUUUAUAAUCUUAACAGUCUAAGUGCAACUAAUAGAAGGAUAUUUGAAUUUUCUAAAUGUCAUGCCAAACUGUAAAAAAAAUGCACGCCAGAGUUACAGAAGCGCGCGCUUCUGUGGCUUUGGCGUGCAUUUUUUUGACAGUUUGCCAUGACAUUUAGAAAAUUCAAAUAUCCCUCUAUUAGUUGCACAUACUUAGUUAAGAUUAUAAAAUCGUUUAGAUGGAGUAAAAUCAAAGAGCAGAUUUUGCUGCACUGAGUGUAGGACAACACUGCUUGCAGGCCAAUACUGAACUUUAUAGCCUAUUCAGAUUACGCCAUUUAUCAUAUUAAUUAUCGUGAAAAAUAUGAAAAAGAAAAGAAAAUUGAUUAUAUGGAAAUUGGCAUCAAGUUACUCUUUAUCAUGAUAUUUAUUAUCAUAAAUGGCGUAAUCUGAAAAGGAUAUUCCGAUCGCAUUUCAGAUUAGUCCUAUAAAAUCAAUAAGAUAUAAUGAUUUGCAAUACUAUUGCUCAAAAUAUUUGAAAUUCUGUAACUUUGUAUCGCAAAACUUUUGAAUUAGAGUUCAACUAUACUUACCCGACCAGUUAGUCAUAACAAAAUUAUAUCACAAUUCUACCAAUAUAUGUGUUAGAAAUAACAAUAUCUGCAAUAAUUUUUUUAUACAUUCUCUGUUCUGGAUGAAGUAACUUAAAUCCUAUGAUCGUCGGAACAUGAUUAAAACACUAUGUGAUAAAAUUAAUUCGAAUUCGAAUACACAACUAUUGAUAACUUUGUUCUUUUUAAUAACAUAAUUUGUAAUAGUUUUAGUUAUUUUCAUCACCUCUCUUAUUACACAUCUAGUUAUAUUCUUGUUUAAUUGAAAACAUAUUUAGUAACGUUUUUGUUAAAACUGGAAUACAUUUUGUUACAAAUUUAGUUAUUUUAACUACUAUUACAACCUCUGUUAUAACAAAAAAAAAUGCUGUAACAAAAUAACAAGUCCUGAUAUAAAUCUGUUAUCAUCUACUGGUCGGGUUGUAUGGAAAUAACUUUGAUGAUAUUAUAAAACAUCUCUUGUUGUUCUUUACCUUUUAAUAGAUAAUUCAGACUACAAGACUACAUAUCACAAUAUAGAGUAACUGAAUGUCAAAGUUUACACAUCUAGUUUGCAUUGUUAAUUUUAUAUAUGACGUUAAUAUCUUUCAUGAGAUAAAAGUUCUAUAUCACGUGAUAAAGUUCGUUGUCUGAAAACAAUGUGAAUGUUUUGAAAUUAAUUAAUUAUAAACAACGUUUUUUUGGUAACAAACUCGCAUGGUUAACACAAUUCCAUACUUCGCAAUUUAUUCAACGUACCCUAAUGAAAAAAGUGUAUUAUUUCAGUAAAAUGCCACAGCUUUGAUAUUGUUUCAUACUUUGUUGAUUAUAACACAUAAUUUAUAAAAUAAGCCUGAAGCUUACGCAUACAUAAUGCCAACGAAAAUAAAAUGGUGGUUCUAAUGAAACAUUUAUGAAGAUAUGGAAAGAAAAAAUCUUGCAGAAAAAAUGUAUAUUAAGCAUAACUACGCAUUGAUUGAUUGUUUAUUAGAUUGUAAUAUACUAGCAGCUAAAUGUUCAAUGUAAAUUAUCAAUAUUGUAGUAACUAUAACAAAGCCAUGAACGUGUAAAUUAUGCAUAGCAGAAGGGAAGUAAAUUUUGUAAAUAUGUCAUCAUGCCGAUAAUAAUUUGUCCGAAA